AUAUAACAAAUAAUUUGAGCUAUGAAGACUGCUUUAACGAUACUAAUAGUGGUGAUCAUAAAUCUACAGAUCCUAACCAUAGGAGUUUACGGACAAGAGGAAAGUUCACCAGAGGAGGAGAAGGACCAAUGUAAGAAAGGAUACGUUGCGAAGGGUGCUGAUUGUGUGUGCGACGACGGAUACCAUCUGAGCUUGGGAACAUGUGUCAAGACAAUAGCCUUCUUCAUAUUCGUUUCGGUGUGUGUGAUAGUUGUGGCACUGCUGGUGAUCUCUGGUCUUAUAAUGCAUCACGAGAGGAAGAGAGGUGGAAUUGAGAAUCUUAUGCCACCAAAUUGACCGGUUAAAACGGAGAAUCGCUGUCUAGUGUGAGGAAAUAUGAGCUGAAGGUGGAUGGUGAGAUUAACAGUUAAGGUUUACUACAAGUGAUGAAAGAUAUGGAUAGUAUUGUAGGAGACAUUUGUCGUGGUAUGCUGGAAUCAGUGAUGUUAGUGAUAUCUUCUAAUUUGGAUAGUGAUAAGUGAGUAAGGAAAUGCUCUGUCCGUGGCUGAAAACUAGUGUUUGUGAUCUUGAAGCUGAAUCUUGUACAAUUCCUCUUAAGAAGGGUGCAUGUGUUGAUGAGAUGACAACUCAAAAACUAUCUGAUUAAAAACACUCAAUAAUCUGCAGGGAAAGAUAAGAUAAGAGAAACAAAUGUUGCAUAAUGUUGAAGUCAUUAAGGAGCACUAUCAAAACUCAAAUACCUCAAAUACCUCACAUACGUAUACCUCAAAU